rnacentral:rRNA from 1 species
GAUGAACGCUGACAGAAUGCUUAACACAUGCAAGUCUACUUGAUUCUACUUCGGUAGUUGAUGGUGGCGGACGGGUGAGUAACGCGUAAAGAAUCUGCCCUUUAGUUUGGGAUAACCUUUGGAAACGAAGGCUAAUACCGGAUAUUAUGGAGACGUCGCAUGGCGACUCCAUGAAAGCUAUAUGCGCUAGAGGAGGACUUUGCGUCCCAUUAGUUAGUUGGUGAGGUAAUGGCUCACCAAGACCGCGAUGGGUAGCCGGCCUGAGAGGGUGAACGGCCACAAGGGAACUGAGACACGGUCCUUACUCCUGCGGGAGGCAGCAGUGGGGAAUAUUGGACAAUGGGCCACAAGCCUGAUCCAGCAAUUCUGUGUGCACGAUGAAGGUCUUCGGAUUGUAAAGUGCUUUCAGUAGGGAAGAAAAAAAUGACGGUACCUACAGAAGAAGCGACGGCUAAAUAUGUGCCAGCAGCCGCAGUAA